rnacentral:misc_RNA from 1 species
GAAAUGCGAUAAUUAAUGUGAAUUGCAGAAUUCAGUGAAUCAUCGAGUCUUUGAACGCACAUUGCGCCCCCUGGUAUUCCGGGGGCAUGCCUGUCCGAGCGUCAUUGCUGCCCUCAAGCACGGCUUGUGUGUUGGGCUUCCGUCCCUGGCAACGGGGACGGGCCCAAAAGGCAGUGGCGGCACCAUGUCUGGUCCUCGAGCGUAUGGGGCUUUGUCACCCGCUCCCGUAGGUCCAGCUGGCAGCGAGCCUCGCAACCAAUCUUUUUAACCAGGUUGACCUCGGAUCAGGUAGGGAUACCCGCUGAACUUAAGC